rnacentral:misc_RNA from 1 species
AUACAUAUGUACAUAUUUAUAUAUACUUAAAGUAGUGCAAUGGCAGAUAAUAAUAAGAUAGCAAUUGCAACCACACGCUAUAUAAGUAAAUACAUACAUUCAUGUGUAGUACAUAAUAAAUAAACGUGAGUGCACAACAAAACAUAUUGAAUCUGUUGAAUGGAUACCAGCAGAGGAAUUAUUUCAUUGAGCUCCAAACUGUUGAGCUUUGUGCGCGUUUUCCGUUUAUAUUGGACAUUUGUGGCGCUCAUAGCUUUGUUAUUUUUAUAUUCAAACAAAUAUUUUAUUAUAAUCUAAAACUUCAACAGAUCAAAUAUGUACCAACGAUAAAAUCACGAUUCAUAUAAAAUUUUUGCGAUCCUGACAAAUUAAAAGUGAAAAUAAAAUGAUAUUUACAAAUCAAAGUAAAUAGAUGAGUGUAGAGAAUGCUUAACUAACUUUUUAUGACAGAGAUGCUCAACCAACGAAUUGAUGCCUUUCCGUUUUGUUAAUAUUAAAUAUAAACUUCGAAAUUGUUGACUUUGAAACCAUACGAACUUAUCGUCAACAUAGAUUUUAAUAUGACUGUUGUUGCCUUAAGAUCCCCUCCGAAAAGCAUGAGAGUAAGAAUAAAUGGGUCAUCGCUAGCAACACCAACGCAAACCAGUAGUUCAGCCACAGCAGAAAAACAACCACAUACAAAAACGAGCAGCACAGCAGCAGUAGCAACAGCUGGCGAUAAAUAGAGAAAAAGGUGAGACAGCCAAAAUGGAAACUGGGUCGGCAGUACAGACUGGUAUUGACGGACGCAUAAAUAUAAAAACGUUGAAAGGAAAUGAAGUCGAGAAAAAAAAAUGAGCAAUGCAAAAAGGAUUAACACUAAAAGUAACGCAUUAUAAGGGUGCGCCCGCAGUCUCCAACAACUUCCAUAUUGGAUAUGAAACUUACUCACGUAUCUAUUAUAUUUGAGCAUCGAUUAGGCUGCGCUGGCAGCUCAAACUACGAGAUCGACGCCCAACAUCAGCUGUGAGUAAUAAAUACUUCACACCUUCGAGAAGUGUAGAACCAUUAGGAAAUUCAGCGAUUCCAAGGCGCUCUCAGCUUUGGAGGAACGCAUAAUCAAACUU